UUGCUUACUUCAGCAGCACAUAUACUGAAAUUGGACCAAUAUAGAGAAGAUUAGCAUGGUCCCUGCACAAGGAUGACACACAAAUUUGUGAAUAUUCACAGACCAAU